ensembl:rRNA 5S_rRNA 5S ribosomal RNA
GUUCACGAUCGUGCUACUCUGAACGCACCCACUCUUUGACCGCGAAAGCUAAGCAGGGCCGGGCCUGGUUAGUACGCGGAUGGCAGAAAGGGAAGGGAAAAGGUGUCUGUUUUCC